CCUACGGGUGGCAGCAGUGGGGAAUAUUGCACAAUGGGGGGAACCCUGAUGCAGCAAUGCCGCGUGGGUGAAGAAGCACUCCGGUGCGUAAAGCCCUGUCAGCAGGGAAGAAAAUGACAGUACCUGACCAAGAAGCCCCGGCUAACUACGUGCCAGCAGCCGCGGUAAUACGUAGGGGGCAAGCGUUAUCCGGAUUUACUGGGUGUAAAGGGAGCGCAGGCGGAAGAUCAAGUCAGCGGUAAAAUUGAGAGGCUCAACCUCUUCGAGCCGUUGAAACUGGUUUUCUUGAGUGAGCGAGAAGUAUGCGGAAUGCGUGGUGUAGCGGUGAAAUGCAUAGAUAUCACGCAGAACUCCGAUUGCGAAGGCAGCAUACCGGCGCUCAACUGACGCUCAUGCACGAAAGUGUGGGUAUCGAACAGGAUUAGAUACCCCUGUAGUC
rnacentral:rRNA from 1 species